rnacentral:ncRNA from 1 species
UUCCCUCCGAAGUUUCCCUCAGGAUAGCUGGCACUCGCUCGUUUCUACGUUGAACGCAUGCGAGUCUCGUCUGGUAAAGCGAAUGAUUAGAGGCCUUGGGGUCGAAACGACCUCAACCUAUUCUCAAACUUUAAAUGGGUGAGAUCUCUGGCUUGCUUGAAUAUCAUAUGAAGCCACGAGAUUUUGGAUCAGAGUGCCAAGUGGGCCAAUUUUCGUAAGCAGAACUGGCGCUGUGGGAUAAACUAAACGCAGAGUUAAGGCGCCUAAGUCGACGCUUAUGGGAUACCAUGAAAGGUGUUGGUUGCUUAAGACAGCAAGACGGUGGCCAUGGAAGUCGGAAUCCGCUAAGGAGUGUGUAACAACUCACCUGCCGGAGCAACUAGCCCUGAAAAUGGAUCGCGCUGAAGCGUCGCGCCUAUACACCGCCGUCAGCGGCAAGUGAGGAGAGACGUGUCAUCCUCGGAUGCUCGCCCUCCAUGAAGUCCUGACGAGUAGGAUGGUCGCGGCGGUGUGCGCAGAAGGGUCUGGGCGUGAGCCUGCCUGGAGCCGCUGUCGGUG